ensembl:lncRNA
UUUUUUUUUUUUUUAGUUUACAGCAACUUGGUAACAUGUUUUGGGAAAAAUAGUUAAAGUUUGAAUUUGAGAGUCCCAAACAAAAUUGCCAGAAUAAUCCUAUUGCAUUUUCUUAGUUACAAAAUAUCAGAUUCGGUACAUGAAGUCUUUUUGGAGAGUAGCUUUUAGAGUUCAUUCCAAAUUGCCAAAUUGUAUAAACUGUGCUGCAGCUUCUCCUAGUUCUUAGUGGAGAGAAAAUUUUUUUUUCUUUUUUUUAAAGUGUCACAACUGUGGCACAUGGAAGUUCCUGGGCUGGGAGCCAAGUCAGAGCUGAAGCUGUCAGCCAACACCCCAGCCACAGUAAUGCUGGAUCCGAGGCUCAUCUUCGACUUAUGCCGAAGCUUACGGUAACACCAAAUCCCUAACCUAUUGAGCAAGGCCAAGGGAUCAAACCUACAUCCUCAUGGAUCCUAGUCAGGUUCUUAACCCACUGAACCACAAUGGGAACUCCCAGAAAUUUCAUUUUUUAUAUGACAGGUCAAAAAGACAUUGCUUCAAAAAAAGAUGGAGUGGCACCGUGAAAAUGAAUCCAACUAGGAACCAUGAGGUUUCGGGUUCAAUCCCUGGCCUUGCUCAGUGGGUUAAGGAUCCAGCAUUGCUGUGAGUGUGGUGUAGGUCAUAGACAUGGCUCAGAUCCCGAGUUGCUCUGACUGUGGCAUAGGCCAGUGGCCACAGCUCUGAUUUGACCCCUAGCCUGGGAACCUCCAUAUGCUGUGGGAGUGGCCCUAGAAAAGGCAAAAAGACAAAAAAAAAAAAAAUGUGGAGACAUAUUGGAGCCCUUUGCACCACUGGUAGGAAUGCAAAAUGCUACAGCUGCUGUGGAAAAAAAAAAUACAGCACUUCCUCAAAAAAUAAAAAAUAGAAUUAACAUUUAGGUGUUGUGUCUCUCCUUAAGUGCGUGUCUGCUCACUUCUGCCUCACUCUCUGCCAACUGGGGGCAAGAGCUCCAUCCUGCAGGGCUUUUCUGUCUGAAGUGGAGGGAAGGGCAGGACUUGAGUUGGUCUCCAGGGAUACUCUUGGGUCUGUCCAGACAGUGCCGGCCUCUACCCUUUGCACUUGUCCUUUCCUGGAAGAAAUGGGACGGCAUCGUAUCUUCAUGUAGAUGCCAUUCUUCCUGCCUUAAGUGUGUUUAGACUUAUCUUCUGGAGGGGGUGUACCCACGGCAUGCAGAAGUUCCUAGGCCAGGGAUGGAACCCGCACCACAGUAGUGACCAGAGCCACUGCAUGACAAUGCUGGAUCCUCAACGGCUCUGCCACUGGAAACGCUUGUUUAUGCUUAUCUUAAUCCUGAUCAGUGUAGACAAGGAAGCCCCAAGCUGGCAUUUGCAUGUAGGGAGUCAGGUGCACUGGUUGGCAAGUGGUGGGACUCAGAUGAGGUCUAUACCAACUUGCCCGUGGAAGAGGCUGCAUGAAAAUGGGGUGGUCGGAUUCACCUUAAUCCAGAGUUUGACAUUCCCAAGCUCAUUUCCAGGGGCCAGAUGCUUAUCUUUCUUCAUUUCCACAGCUGUGACCUCACCAUGGCCAUCAGACCCCUCUGAGCCUGGUCUAGCUAUGCCAUCAGGCAAAGGCUAAUUGGAUUGAACAUGUGUUGAAGGUGGGUCAUUCCCAGGUGGUUCCUGGACUGACCAUUAUGAUGUGUAACUCCCCCCAAUUUCCUUCUGUUUGAAACAAAAUUCCUGAUAACCAUGCACCCUGGAAUCAAGAAUGGACCCACAGAGGAGUAAAGAUUCCUAGAGCGCAAGCAUGUUGCCAGGGUCUUUCCAGCUCCUUGGAAGCAAGAGCUGCCAGCUGAGGAUGUCUGAACUCUUGGCCAAAGAUGAAGCACAGUUUUGUUUUGUUUUGUUUUUUUCUCUCUCUGGCCACACCUGAGGCACAUAGAAGUUCCUGGGCCAAGGGUCAAAGCCCCGCCACAGCAGUGCCCCGAGCUACUGCAGUGACAACACCAGAUCCUUAACCUACUGAGCCACCAGGGAACUCCUAAGCACCAUCUUUUCCUACACUCAGAGGCACUUAGACACCCAGAGGGUAUGUGGACUGAGGAGAGGACAGAUUCCAGAAAACAGCAGCCCAGACAGAGAGCUGCAGAGCCACCCACCCAGAGCACAGGGGUUCAGCUUCCUCAAUGUAAGGCUUUGGCUUUUCAUGCCUGCAGCUGCAGGGCAAGUGCUCAGCAUCUUUGGCAGAGGGAAGCAUUUCAUCAUCCUCCUUGCUUGGUUUUAUUUCAGUGCUUUUAAGGUUGAUAUUAAAGAGCAGCUGUGGGACUUCUGAUAUUGUACUGUUUACCAGCGUCUGAACCUCUUUGUCUGAUCUCUUCCCUCCCCGGUGCCUCAAGGUAGCAGGACAGAGUAGGCGCCCUCCCGGGUGGAUGCAGGUUCACCCCAGAAUCUGUGCCUGUGGGAGGCUUGUGAUGCAGUGGAGUCAGCACACAGGGAGGCUCAUCUGUGUGAGAUGCUUCCCUGACCGCAAACGGAGCUGUGCACCUGUGGGCAGUGCUCGGAGGCUCCGCAGCAGAAAGGAUUCUUUGGACCUGGCUUUGGAGACCAUGGUUUCAGCCCUGACCACUCACUGGGGGGUCAUAAUCAUCUACACCGUGUGGCUGUGUGUGGCUCAGUGAGAUGAGUGAUGUAACUGAGAGUACCUUCGAUGCUGUGCUCUUGCAGGUGGAGGGGCAAGGUGGUUAUUGCUGUGAUAGGAUGGAGGGUUCCUCACAUGAAAGAGGAAGGCGAUGCUUUAUAGUGACUUUCACUCCCCCUCCGCUGCAAUCCCUCUUUCCUCCUUCCAAUUGCUUCUUUCCCAUGAGCUUUUGAUCUCUCUUCUGUUCCUUAAAAGAUAUACCUUGUCUUUCCUCCCUUUGCCUUUUACACCCCAGUGCUUCACCAAAAUGGAAGGAAACCAGCAUUCAAAGAAUUUUCCUGAAAGAAGCAAGUAGGGCCAGGAGUCAGGCUGGCCUCUGACCGCAAGGGCUCCUUCAGCCACAGGGACAGCAGUGGCCCUUAGUAUCCCCACAUCCAGUACCCCCUACUCUGAGUGUGGCUCCCACACAGAUUGUUCUAUUUUCUUAAAGGCCUUUGACCAGGACUGGCCACUACUGCAUGUUUCGGUGACCCAGGGCCACAAAUCAGGUGUUGUUUACUUAUUCAUGGAGAAUCUUGAGAUGAUGUUGUCCUUCGUGAUGCCUGAGAGGAUCUUUGAUCAGGUCACUGUCACCCAAGAUCGUGUGUAAGUCCCCUGGGGGCAAGGAAGGAACGAAGACAGGCCUUCUCGAAGCUGAGGUGGUGGUGGCUCUGAGAACACAUGGGGGCAUGUGGCAGGACCCCUCCCCAGGGAUGGGGCUUAGCGCUGGGUGGCCUGAGAGUCUGCAUUUCUAAUAGGCUCCUGGGAGGUCCUGGGGCUCCUCUGGGGACCACAUACUUGGAGAAGCAAGGGUCAAGGGCAGAGGAACAGUUAACUCCCAUCUUUUUGCAUAUUGUUCACGGCUGCUUUCUUGCCACAGUGGCAGAAUUGAGUUGUUGUGACAGACCAUAUGGCUCAGAAAGCCGGAAAUGUUUACUCUGUGGCCCUUGACAGAAAAGGGUGCCAAUGACUUGUCUGGUACGUCCUCCAAGACCUGCGCCCCAUGUUCUAGCCGUCGGAACAGACCCCACUUUAUUUCACUGCCUAAACAUUCUAUGACCCUUACUGUGCCAGCUUUGCAAAGCAUUGCAUCAUGUUUCCUGGGGGAGAAAAACAUGAGACUAGUCAUCGCUGCCAUUUAUUCAGAUCUUUGCAGGUCACAAAAACACCUUCAGACCCUGCAGCAACCUAGAUGGUGCCAUACCCAUCUUAUGGAAGCACAGACCAAUGCUUAGGGAGGACAAAAAGUUAGCGACACACCCAAGUCUUUGGGCCUUUUACCAAAUCUGAGAUGCCCAAAUUGGAUGAACUUGGUAUAUUUGUCGUCUAUUACCGUGUAACAAAUAACGCUCAAGCUUAAUAGCUUAAAACAGCAAUAAACAUUAUCACUAGCAGUGUUGGUGCAUCAGGAAUUCAUGAUCAACUUUGCUGAGCAGUUGUGGCUCAGGUGUCUUCCUGAGGCACAGUUGGAUUCUUCUUGGGGCUGCAGUCAAUUUAGGCUUCACUGAGCCUGGAGAUGCACUUCAAAAGCGGUCUCUCACCUGGCUGGCAAGUUGGUACUGGCUAUUGGCUCUGUGCCCCUCUGUGUGGGCCUCCCUAAAGGACUGCUUGAGUGUCCUCACAACGUGGCCACUGACUUCCCCCAGAGCGUGUGAUCUGUGAGCAAGACAGCCCAGGAGAAUCUAAAUCCUUCUUGUGACCUUGCCUCCCAAAUCACCUAGCAUUGUUUCUGCCACACUCUUCUCAUCAGAAGCAUUCUGGUGUGAGCCUAUAUUCAAAGGGUGUGUCGAAGAAUUUGUAGCUACAUUUUAAAAUCAGCCCAGUAUGCAGAUUUCCAUUCCAUUGCCUGCUGGGACUGUUGGGAUUCUGUGGCUUCUCUCAGUCUGCGCUGGUGAUCAUAGAUGCUGAAGUCCUCAGCAAGAGCAAGGUUGAGUCACAAACUACUAGCAUCACCUAGGCCUCAAGCUUUGUUCUGCUCUGCAGCACCCAAGGGUCUUUUAUAGUGGUACUUGGAGAGGGGUCAAGGAGGGACAGAGGGAAACACCUACCCUCUUGAAAGUGGGAAGACAACCAAACAGAAAGUGGUUUGAAAUCCCUCCUCCCACCCCAAGUCAUUCAGAUAUGUACCUCUUCCCCAGUGCUGGCCCCCCACUCCCAUUUAAAAACUACUUCCCUAACUUAGUCAUUCCCAUUUCCCAGAUUGGAAAGCAGAGUCUGGAAGAGGCAUAGUUCCCUCUUGGAGAAAGCAGCAGAUAUUAAGCACAAUUCAGUAAAACUUUAUAGGGACGCAUGGAUUAAACUUGCCCUUCCAAGUCUUUGUCUUUAUUAGUCCGUAUUACAGCUGGCUGACUGCAUUUCUUGUCAGAUCUGUUUCCAGGCAAUGUCUGGGUCUAGUGGGCUGGUCCCAAACAGAGUUUAUUCUUGCACCUCCUGCCACCUCUGAGGAAUGUGCUUCAAGUGUAGGAACUGAUCUGCACAGAUGGUAACUUCUGAUCUCUCUCUACUGAACAGGGACUGCAGCUCCUGAAUUGUUGAUAAGCAGUGUUUGGCCACCAUCUAGAGGGUAAAUGGAAGAGAUCGCUAUGCUUGCUCCGCAGAAGCUCUGCUGAUCUGGGAGGGGUGCGAAGGUGACUCUAAAGAAAUCACUCAGGGAAUUCCCUUGUGGCUCAGCGGGAAUGAAUCUUGACUAGUAUCCAUGAGGAUGCAAGUUCGAUCCCUGGCCUUGCUCAGUGAGUUAAGGAUCCGGCACUGCCAUGAGCUGUGGUGUAGGUUGCAGACGCAGCUUGGAUCUGGCGUUGCUUGGGCUGUGGUAUAGGCCAUCAGCUGCAGCUCUGUUUUGACCCCUAGCCUGGCAACCUCCAUAUGCUGUGGGUGUGGCCCUAAAA